rnacentral:rRNA from 1 species
UACGGAGGGGGCUAGCGUUGUUCGGAAUUACUGGGCGUAAAGCGUACGUAGGCGGCUUUGUAAGUUAGAGGUGAAAGCCCGGGGCUCAACUCCGGAAUUGCCUUUAAGACUGCAUCGCUCGAAUCAUGGAUAGGUGAGUGGAAUUCCGAGUGUAGAGGUGAAAUUCGUAGAUAUUCGGAAGAACACCAGUGGCGAAGGCGACUCACUGGACAUGUAUUGACGCUGAGGUACGAAAGCGUGGGGAGCAAACAGG